UCAAUAAGCGGAGGAAAAGAAACCAACAGGGAUUGCCUCAGUAACGGCGAGUGAAGCGGCAGCAGCUCAAAUUUGAAAUCUGGCCCCCCCGGGGGGUCCGAGUUGUAAUUUGCAGAGGGUGCUUCGGGCGAGGCGCCGGCCUAAGUUCUUUGGAACAGGACGUCGUAGAGGGUGAGAACCCCGUAUGCGGCCGGCGACCGACCCCAUGUGAAGCCCCUUCGACGAGUCGAGUUGUUUGGGAAUGCAGCUCAAAAUGGGUGGUAAAUUUCAUCUAAAGCUAAAUAUCAGCCGGAGACCGAUAGCGCACAAGUAGAGUGAUCGAAAGAUGAAAAGCACUUUGGAAAGAGAGUUAAACAGUACGUGAAAUUGUUGAAAGGGAAGCGCUUGCAACCAGACCUGCGCCCGGGCGAUCAGCCCCCGUUCUCGGGGGUGCACUCGCCGGGGGGCAGGCCAGCAUCGGUUCGGGCGGCGGGAAAAAACCGCGGGAAAGUAACCGCCCGCUUCUGGGCGGCGUUAUAGCCCGCGGUCGAUGCUGCCCGCCCGGACCGAGGACCGCGCUUCGGCAAGGAUGCUGGCGUAAUGGUUGUAAGCGGCCCGUCUUGAAACACGGACCAAGGAGUGGAAUAUCUAUGCGAGUGUUUGGGCGUCAAACCCACGCGCGGAAUGAAAGUGAACGGAGGUGAGAACCCGGAAGGGCGCAUCAUCGACCGAUCCGGAAGUUUUACGGAUGGAUUUGAGUACGAGCAUAGCUGUUCCGACCCGAAAGAUGAUGAACUAUGCCUGAAUAGGGUGAAGCCAGGGGAAACCCUGGUGGAGGCUCGCAGCGGUUCUGACGUGCAAAUCGAUCGUCAAAUUUGGGUAUAGGGGCGAAAGACUAAUCGAAUCAUCUAGUAGCUG
rnacentral:rRNA from 1 species